UUGGAGGGCAAGUCUGGUGCCAGCAGCCGCGGUAAUUCCAGCUCCAAUAGCGUAUAUUAAAGUUGUUGCAGUUAAAAAGCUCGUAGUUGAAUUUCGGGGUUAGUAGGUUGGUCAUGCCUCUGGUAUGUACUGGUCUCACUGAUUCCUCCUUCCUGAUGAACCUUAAUGCCAUUAAUUUGGUGUUUUAGGGAAUUUGGACUGUUACUUUGAAAAAAUUAGAGUGUUUAAAGCAAGCUAACGCUUGAAUACAUUAGCAUGGAAUAAUGAAAUAGGACGUUCGAUCCUAUUUUGUUGGUUUCUAGGAUUGACGUAAUGAUUAAUAGGGAUAGUUGGGGGCAUUAGUAUUCAAUUGUCAGAGGUGAAAUUCUUGGAUUUAUUGAAGACUAACUACUGCGAAAGCAUUUGCCAAGGAUGUUUUCAUUAAUCAAGAACGAAAGUUAGGGGAUCGAAGACGAUCAGAUACCGUCGUAGUCUUAACCAUAAACUAUGCCGACUAGGGAUCGGAUGAUGUUAAUUUUUUAAUGACUCAUUCGGCGCCUUACGGGAAAC
rnacentral:rRNA from 1 species